rnacentral:rRNA from 1 species
CCUACGGGUGGCUGCAGUGGGGAAUUUUGCGCAAUGCUCGUAAGAGUGACGCAGCGACGCCGCGUGAAUGACGAAGGCCUUCGGGUCGUACAGUUCUUUCGACAGGGAAGAAAAUGCAUAUAAGUAACUGUGUAUUUAUUGACGGUACCUGUAUAAGCAGCCCCGGCUAACGCCGUGCCAGCUGCCGCGGGAAUACGGAGGGGGCGAGCGUUGUUCGGAGUGACUGGGCGUAAAGAGCACGGAGGCGGUGUGGUAAGGCAGUAGUCAAAGACUAGAGCUCAACUUUAGUAAGGCUAGUGAUACUAUAAUACUAGAGUAUCAGAGAGGAUGGCAGAAUUCCUGGUGUAGCGGUGAAAUGCGUAGAUAUCUGGAGGAAUACCGUGGGCGAAGGCAGCAAUCUGGCUGGAAACUGACGCUGAGGUGCGAAAGCGUGGGUAGCAAACAGGAUUAGAUACCCCUGUAGUC